UCCGAUUUAUCACCGGCAGUCACCUUAGAGUGCCCAACUGAAUGCUGGCAACUAAGAUCAAGGGUUGCGCUCGUUACGGGACUUAACCCAACAUCUCACGACACGAACUGACGACAACCAUGCACCACCUGUCACCACUGUCCCCGAAGGGAAGGACUUAUCUCUAAGCCGGUCAGUGGGAUGUCAAGACCUGGUAAGGUUCUUCGCGUUGCUUCGAAUUAAACCACAUGCUCCACCGCUUGUGCGGGUCCCCGUCAAUUCCUUUGAGUUUUAACCUUGCGGCCGUACUCCCCAGGCGGUCAACUUCACGCGUUAGCUUCGUUACCAAGGGAGUUAAUCCCCCGACAACCAGUUGACAUAGUUUAGGGCGUGGACUAC
rnacentral:misc_RNA from 1 species